UGUCUCUGGUUUAUGUGGAGUUCCUUGAUCCACUUAGACUUGAACUUUGUACGAGGAGAUAAGAAUGGAUCAAUUUCCAUUCUUCUACAUGAUAACCGCCAGUUGUGCCAGCACCAUUUGUUGAAAAUGCUGUCUUUUUUCCACUUGAUUGUUUUAGCUCCUUUGUUAAAGAUCAAGUGACCAUAGAAUUUGUGGUUUCAUUUCUGGGUCGUCAAUUCUAGAAGUCAAAAUAUCACUAUUUGCAGAUGAUAUGAUAGUAUACAUAAGUGAACCCCAAAAUUUCACCAGAGAACUCCUAAACCUGAUAAACAACUUCAGUCAAGUAGCUGGAUAUAAAAUUAACUCAACAAAUCAGUAGCCUUUCUCUACACAAAGGAUAAACAGGAUGAGACAGAAAUUAGGGGAACAACACCCUUCACAAUAGUCACAAAUAAUAUAAAAUACCUUGGUGUGACUCUUAACUAAGCAAGUGAAAGAUCUGUAUGAUAAGAACUUCAAGUUUCUGAAGAAAGAAAUUGAAGAUGGAAAAAUCUCCCAUGCUCAUAGAUUAGCAGGAUUAAUAUAGUCAAAAUGGCUGUCUUGCCAAAGCAAGAUACAGAUUCAAUGCAAUCCCCAUUUAAAUUCCAACUCAAUUCUUCAUCGAGUUAGAAAGGGCAAUUUGCAAAUUCAUCUGGAACAACAAAAAACCUAGGAUAGCAAAAACUAUUCUCAACAAUAAAAGAACCUCUGGUGGAAUCACCAUGCCUGACCUCAAGCUGUACUACAGAGCAAUUGUGAUUAAAAACUGCAUGGUACUGGUACAGUGACAGACAGGUAGAUCAAUGGAAAAAAUGCCUUUUUUUUAACAAAGUAAGACAUUAGGGACUUAGUUUAUAUUUUAUGGGACUGAUAACAUUUUUUAUAGUUAUGUGUUUUAGAUAAACUAUGGUAUAAGAUAACUAUUAUUUGUUUAUUUAUACACCUGGUUAUUAUUUUUUGAGUAAGCCAUAAGAGAUAGCUUUUAUACUGCAGGAUCAGGAAGGUUUGCACUUUCUAGGGUGUACAGGCUAUUUGUCGGUCUCACAUACUGCCUGUCUUUCUGUUUCUGGCACUGUUACCCCAAUCAACCACAGAUCAGCAAGCAUUCCCUUGCUAGCUUUUGAAAAAAAUGACAUAAGUAACUGGGAGUUUAUUUUCUAAUACUCUGAUCAUGAAACUUUCUCUGUAACUGUGGUCCUCUCAGGAGAGGACAGUUGGAAGGCCGUCUGGGUGAACUUGACACUGAUUAUAAGCCGGGACAGUUGAGGACUAAUUAAAGUGAAGAAUGGCCUGACCUUCGUGAAGCCAGACACAACGCAGGAGGCUUGUGCUAUGGAAGGGGUCCCCACUGCACAGCCAUCAUCUCUGAAGUCUGGGGAAGGAGUCUAUCUUCCUGUUGUCUGCUUUCAGUCUCCCAGAGGCUGGACAAAGAGAUAGUCACAGGCCCUAGCAAUGAACUCCACUCUGGAGAUGAGUUAGGAAAGAAAGCAAGCCCCGGAGUGGAUCAGGCUGAGGACAGCCAGCCCUCCAGGAGCCGCUCGCGUGGCUGGACCUCAUGAGUGGCCAUACCUACUGCCAAGGAAGGUACUUAUUGUCUUCUUGCUCUGUCUCUGUCUCCUGUGUCACCGUGCUAAGCUGUACCUCACAGCCGAGUGCCUUGGAGAAGGUUACCUCUCUAUACAGAUGACAGAAAACAACAGAUUAGGACGUAAAAGUGUACAUUUAUGAGAGUACUGUGAUUUUGUUGGGUGACCAUCGCAAAUCUACCAGGUUAGGCUCUUCUGAAUCUUAAAAAACUUAUAUUCUUGUGGGGGUGGCUAUGGGGGACUUUUGGGAUAGCAUUGGAAAUGUAAAUGAGGAAAAUACCUAAUUAAAAAAAUGUUACCAAAAAAAAAACCCAAAACAACAUAUAUUCAUGCCACUUAAAAAAACUUAUAUCCAUGUGUCGUGUGUAUGUGAGUGUACCACGCCACACCCGUGUAGAUCAGAGUGAGUCUUGGGAUUCAAACUUAGGUUGUCAGGCUGGGCAGUGAGUGCCUUUACAGCUCUCUGGUCUGUUAAGUUGUCCCUGCCUAUCUUCUCAGCACUAUGGAGGCAGAGGUCAGAGCAUUGGAAGUUCAAGACCCUUCUCAGCCAUAGCAAGUUUGAGGCAAGCCUCUCUGAGAGCCCGUCUCAAAAAUAUAAAACAAAACAAGAAAGCUUUAGUUUUUACAAAUAAUUUUAUAAAAGACUUAGCAUGCUGAUACUUUAAAGUAAUGAUGAAUAUAUUACCACCCUCCCCCCAUUUUGUUUGAAAAUAUUAUUGACAAGGGGAGCUCUUCCUGGCUGGUACCUUCUCUUAGCCCUUUGCCCUAGCUCUGAGUACUUGGUCUGAGUUCGUGGGUAUUUAUCAUCGCUGUGUUUAGUCUCUGUGUUUAGAAGUGUUGUUUAGAAGCACCAUGUGGCACUUAUGUUUCUGAAACACAAGCUGUUUGCCUUGAUUUUAUUGCCUGGAGUGUAUGUUGCAAAAGAGAGAGAGAG
rnacentral:lncRNA from 1 species